CGUUGACAGUGGUCAGUGAUGUUCUCUCGUGCAUCCAGAUGUGCACUCUUCUCACUCUGCUGCUUUCCAGUUAAAGUUGCUGAAUGUGCAGCUGGUGAAACGGGCCCAGAGGGUCUUCUUGUACACAAGGCAUCCAUUGGCCAGGUGGAGGUUGAGAUGGCACCAUACGGAUCCACAACUGUUUGAGCACAGCGUACAACAGUUAUAAACAAGAAGAUGCAGAGAAGAAACAGGAAGAAGAGGGCAAAGCCCAAAUCCACAUCAACCUCAAGUUGGGGCACUCGUGGUAAUGGCUGAUCCAUCUGUGAAGUGUGUUGCCAUGCAAAAAGUCAAUAAACAACCA